CUCUGAUCUACCCCAGUACAUCUAAGCUCAGUGUUCUUGCUUGUCCCUACCUCAGGCCAGCAAAUUCCCCAGUUCAUCUUCAGACUGGCGGGUUCCUGGGCUGGGCCUGGAGAGUCGUGGGGAGCCUCCCACUCCUCCCAGCCCAGCUCCAGCUCCAGCCACAGGCCCUAGUGGAAGCAGCAGUGGCAGCAGUGAGGGCAGUAGUGGGAGGGCAGCUGGGGACACACCUGAGCGCAAGGAAGUGACUAGUUCCGGCAAGAAGAUGAAGGUGCGGCCCCCGCCCCUGAAGAAGACCUUUGACUCUGUGGACAAGUGAGCAGGGGCUGGGAUCUUGGCCGAGUGCCAAGGGCUGGUGGGAGAAGGGACAGCUACAGGUAGAGACAAAAGAGGUGACCCUGCUGGCACCCCAGCAGGGUCCUGUCAGAAGUGGACUUUGAAGAGCGGUUUGCUGAGCUGCCCGAGUUUAGACCAGAGGAGGUGCUGCCCUCACCCACCCUACAGUCUCUGGCCACCUCUCCUCGGGCUAUCCUUGGCUCCUACCGAAAGAAGAGGAAGAAUUCCACGGACCUGGACUCGGCGCCUGAGGAUCCCACUUCACCCAAGCGUAAGAUGAGGAGACGUUCGAGCUGCAGCUCAGAGCCCAACACCCCAAAGAGUGCCAAGUGCGAGGGGGACAUCUUCACCUUCGACCGCACAGGUACUGAAACGGAGGAUGUGCUUGGGGAGCUGGAGUAUGAGAAGGUGCCCUACUCAUCACUGCGGCGCACCCUGGACCAACGGCGGGCCCUGGUCAUGCAGCUCUUCCAGGACCAUGGCU
rnacentral:lncRNA from 1 species